CCGCCCCCCCGGGAGCCCGAGCCGCCCCCGGCCUGAGGGCGUCCCCAUGUAGCACCCGUGACCCGGCACCGCUGUAUUAGCUGCCGCCGCGGGUCCGGGAGGCGGAGUCGCCCCUCCAGGAAGUUCCGCUGCAGAUCAGCGCGGUGGCCAAUGCACGGACCUGCCUGCCCUCCCGGGCCGCUGCAGCCGGGGGGUGGCGAGCACACUGCGCCGUAAACAGCAUCUUGACGCCUUGGCCUCAGGCUCCCUCAGCGGCCCGCGCUAAAUCCGCUGCUGCCACUGACUUUGCCCUCUACACUGGUAUCACACCAGCGCUGCUGAUGCUGCUUCUCCAGCCUCACCCAUCCCUCGCGGCCUGGCUCCCUUUCCGCCCCCCCAAGCUGGGGCGUGCCUACAAACCCAGCAGAGAUGCUAACUAGAGCCAUGUCGUGCACACAGCCCUCGAUGUUUAGCUCUUCUUCAGGAAGUUUACAGCAGCUCUCAAAGAUUAGCCACCUUUAAAUGGAGUAAGUCGUGUCAUUAGCAUGUACCCAGGUAAUUGAAGCAGAUAUUUAUGAAGUCAUUGGGAGGUGAACUAUCUCCAAUUCAACAGGUUAACCAUUAAUAUUUGGAGGAUUUUCUUGUCAUGCUGUAUUAGGAGGAGAACAUCACCAAACAGACAUUUAAAUUGUUUUAUUCAACUAAAACAACAGUGUUAUGUAUUCUGAAUUUUUUUCUUCAACAGCAAACGUAUAAUAUUUUAACAAAACAAGCAUAUGAAUUUUUGAAUUUAGUUAAACAUUCAAGUUUUUUAAAAUCAGGUUUGUUCUCAUUAAAAUUGUUUUAACUAAAAUAGUUAAAUGAAAUUUUUUUUUAAAAAAAAACAAAAAUUAAAUUGACGGUGUCAGCCAGGUCAACAUGAGAAACUUAAAAUAUUGGCUUCAGCAGCUAAACUCGGUCGUCUUCACCUUCAAUUUCCUGUUUGUUCAUAAUCUGGAAAAGAAAAACAAGCUUUCCUGCUUUUUCAGGUCCCAAACGAUUUCUCAAUUUGGAAUGAAUUAGUCCAAAGGAAGAAAAUAUUCUUUCUACGCCGGCGGAAGAAGCUACUGCUGUUAAAAGUGAGAUUAUCCAAGUGCUUAAGUGACUUCCACCAGUUCACUGGUGUGACUUUCUUUAAAGCAGGGGUCUCGAAGUCCCGGCCCACGGGCCAUCUGCGGCCCAAGAACCUCCCCACUGCAGCCCGCAGAGGAGAGAUGCAGGCAGACACGCUGCCGGCAAUGUCUGCUGGAGGCGCCGCCCCCCACAGCUCCCAUUGGCUGGGGGAGAGGGACAGAGAUACCAUCACUAGUCACCAGGCAGAGUCAGCCAUGGAGGCAACAUCACUUUUUUCCACAGUGAAUAUAAACAAGUCAAAAUACCGAACACAACUAUCUGAUGCCCACCUUGCUGCAAUCCUGAAGGUUUCAACUGCUCAGUCACUGAGGCCAAACAUCAACAAGCUGACAGAACUGAAGUGUUGCCAGGUAACUGGCAAACAUUAAAAACUCUCUGGCAGGUGAAGAAUUGUAUAAAGUUUUAUGACAGUUUUAUUAUUUCUAAGAAAUUCCAAAUAAAAAAUACAAUAUAAACAUUUUCUUUUCUGAACACCAUCUUCAGUGACAUUAUUGGUCCUCUGGGAGGAUUUGAGGCACUGGCCCUAAGGUAAAUUGAGUUUGAGACCCCUGCUUUAAAGCAUCAUCAGCAAACAUAUAUUUCUUGAAUGGUUCACCCUUAGCUCUGAAGUUUAUUAUAGUUGGCAUUAUGGAGGGAUGAUUGCUGGAUGUCCAUGUCAUAGCCAACUCCUUUUCUUCAGCAGUUGAGGUUUGAUCCUGGUACCAAAUAUUGAGAAUAUUUGCAAGAAAAUGAGCUG